GGAGAGAUGCUCGAGUGGCUUAAGAGGCACGCCUGGAAAGCGUGUAUACGACAAAAUCGUAUCUCGGGUUCGAAUCCCGAUCUCUCCG
rnacentral:tRNA from 10 species